rnacentral:rRNA from 1 species
CUACGGGUGGCAGCAGUGGGGGAUAUUGCACAAUGGGGGGAACCCUGAUGCAGCGACGCCGCGUGGGUGAAGGAGUGCUUCGGCAUGUAAAGCCCUAUCGGCAGGGAAGAAGCAAGACGGUACCUGACUAAGAAGCCCCGGCUAACUACGUGCCAGCAGCCGCGGUAAUACGUAGGGGGCGAGCGUUAUCCGGAUUCACUGGGUGUAAAGGGAGCGUAGACGGCAAUGCAAGCCAGGAGUGAAAGCCCGGGGCCCAACCCCGGGACUGCUCUUGGAACUGCAUGGCUGGAGUACAGGAGGGGCAGGCGGAAUUCCUAGUGUAGCGGUGAAAUGCGUAGAUAUUAGGAGGAACACCGGUGGCGAAGGCGGCCUGCUGGACUGUGACUGACGUUGAGGCCCGAAGGCGUGGGGAGCAAACAGGAUUAGAUACCCUGGUAGUC